UCACUCACACCAUAACAAUUAUAUUUCCCGCCCCCACCAAAUGACCAACGCCUCACCACCACCACCCUUCUUCCGCCGCAGAUGGCCACCGGACUCACUUUCCACGCAACCAAACCCUUCUUUCUUACUUCUCACUUCACUACCUCCUCUUCUAAUAUUCCUUCUUCUUUCGCACUUCCUCCAAAGUUGUCACUUACGCGCAAUUUGGUUGUCAAUGCCACCACUGAUCCUUCAGGUCAGGUUGAAAAGGAUGAAGUCGUCGAGAAACCGAAAAGGACUGUAGGGGAGAUGGAACAGGAAUUUCUUCAAGCACUUCAGGCAUUCUAUUAUGAGGGGAAGUCAAUUAUGUCGAAUGAAGAAUUUGAUAAUCUCAAGGAAGAACUAAUGUGGGAAGGAAGCAGCGUUGUAAUGCUAAGUGCUGAUGAGCAGAGGUUUUUGGAAGCUUCAAUGGCUUAUGUAUCUGGAAACCCACUUUUGUCUGACAAGGAGUUUGAUGAACUGAAACAGAGGCUAAAGGCAGAUGGUAGCGAAAUUGUGAUUGAAGGUCCUCGAUGCAGCCUCCGUAGUAGGAAGGUCUACAGUGAUCUCUCUGUUUACCUAAAGAUGUACCUUCUGAACGCUCCGGCUACAAUUGUUGCAUUAGGAUUGUUUUUCUUUAUAGACGAAAUAACUGGCUUCGAGGUCUUAAAGAUUCCGGAGCCAUUUGGUUUUCUCGUCACGUGGUUUGCAGCUCUGCCCUUCAUUAUAUGGCUAGCGUUCACACUCACAAAUGCCGUUGUGAAAGAUGUUUUAAUCUUAGAGGGGAUCUGUCCAAACUGCGGCACCAAGAACAAUUCCUUUUUCGGUUCCAUACUAUCGAUUUCUAGUGGGGGUUCUAUCAACAACGUGAAAUGCUCCAACUGUGGGACUGCAUUGGUGUAUGAUUCCAAGACACGAUUUAUCCAACAUAAAGAGUCUGUUUAUCUAGCUUUUUCUUGUCUGGAUUGUUUAAAUUGGUGGCAUUGUUAUCAGCUGUGGGACUGCAUUGGUGUAUGAUUCCAAGACACGUUUGAUUACGUUGCCUGAAGGAAGUGAUGCAUAACUUGAUAAGGAUGUUGUCGUUUUAUUGGCUACCAAUUACAAGGCCAACAUUGGUAAUGUAAAUAUAUUACAGAGGCUUCUCUGGUGCUGUAUUAUACCACAUUUCUUAAAGUACGUAGUUGCAAUAUUAAUUUUUUAUUUGCAUACUCUGUUUAUGUUAUAGAUUCUAAUGUAUAGAGAAAACAUAAUACAGUUAUAUGAGAAGAUAUUAUUAUUAAA